rnacentral:rRNA from 1 species
UACGGAGGGUGCAAGCGUUAUCCGGAUUCACUGGGUUUAAAGGGUGCGUAGGUGGGCUGGUAAGUCAGUGGUGAAAUCUCCGAGCUUAACUCGGAAACUGCCAUUGAUACUAUCAGUCUUGAAUACCGUGGAGGUCAGUAGAAUAUGUCAUGUAGCGGUGAAAUGCUUAGAUAUGACAUAGAAUACCAAUUGCGAAGGCAGCUGGCUACACGAAUAUUGACACUCAGGCACGAAGGCCAGGGGAGCAAACGGG